rnacentral:tRNA from 1 species
GCAACAAUAGCUUAAAUUAGAGCACUGGUCUUGUAAGUCAGAGGUGAAAUCGAUAUUCUUGUUGCU